UAUAAGAUCUUGUUAUUUGUCUCAUAUUGGUGCAUACUUUGAGAUUAUAAAUGAUAACUUUUGCUAUUUGACAUAAAGUGCAAUAAAUAAGGUUUUACAUGUCUAUCAUUUUACCUGUGCAAGUAUAUAUGAGAAAAAACUAUAUUUAUGUUAGAUUGUUAUACCACAGCUUUGUGUAAUUCUAGUAAUUAUUAUCAAUUUCUCUUUGUACGAUUGCACCACUAUGCAUUACAAUCUGAAAUACCAUAUAGCCUUAAAAAUGAAAUGUUCAGUUUCUUCAGUUUUAGCAGUAUGACUUAUAUAAAAUGACAGGUAAUUUGGGCUCCAUUAUUUUUAUCCAUUUUAAGUGAUUUCAUGGAUGAAUCUGAGUAUGUAAAAAUCUUUGCACUUCCUUUUCAUAAUGCUUGUAUAUCUUUCAUAUUUUAUGCAUUUUUACAACAUACUCUUUCCAAAAUAGGCUUUUCAGUGUGGUAGAAUUAUAAAUAAUUUUAGGAUUUCCUUUUGAGUCUGUUAAUGGUAUUUGUGACUAUGAAUACAUCCUUUUGUCUGAGUAAAGCGCAUUCAUGCAUAUAAUAUGUUUUAAUCAAAUCCACUUCCCAUUUCCUCUUCUCCAACUCUUUCCCUGAAACCCAAUUAAUUUUCUCUCCAAACUUCCUGUCAUUUUCUUCCUCUUAAAAAAAAAAAGACCCAUCUAGUGGAACCUGGAGAGUCUUUCAGUGACCAUACGCCUAAGGAAGGCUUGCUAUCUUUUCUCUAGCAGUUGUCCAUUGCCUGUAGAUUCUCAGAUGGUGGUGGGAGUUUUAGCUUUCUCGAUCUUAUGCAGGCUUUACUCAUGAUGUCAUAGGAUGUGUUACUUCAUGUGUGCAGAGGACCCAUCAUAUCACGUAACUAAUGUUGUGCUACAGAUGUCUACUGCUUCUGACUCUUAGAAUAUUUCUGUCUCCUCUUCUGCAUUGAACCCUGAGCUUUGGAAAGAGGGAUAAGAUCUAGAUAUUCCAUAUAUUAGUAAGCCACCCACUCUCUCUGUCUUUGUAUCCUGACCAAUUGUUUUGCCUUCUAUUGUAAAAAAGAAAAGAAAAGACACUUCCUCGCUGAGGGUUGAGAGAUGCACUAGUCUGUCUACAUAAAGAGAAGAAUAGAGGAGGUAGUUUGAUAUUUUCCAUUUAACAGAACAAUAAUACUAGGUUCUUCACUGUGGCCUAUAACAUAUCAAAUUGUGGAAUAUUUGCAGUUAAUGUCAGCUAGUACAAGCUCUCUGUGAUCGGACUUUAAAUCCAAUCAUACAGCAUUCAUGUUACUCAUGUAUCAGUGGGUCUAUCUAGUCAGACCAGCUUUCACUGGACUUCACAAGGUUCAUAUCUAUGUAAGUCUUACUUUUUUCUUCCCCAGUUGUGUUCCUUUUUUGUUAAAAAAAACAGUUGUAAUUUCAUCUUUUCAUUAAAGAUACUCACUCUGAGUCUUGGGUGGUCUGCCUGUCCUGCUUUAGAGCAUCACUAACCAGCACGAUUGGGUCUUUGUGAGCUUAGCAGAGUAUAUGAAUGCCAUUGCUCCCCCCUGAACGUCAUAGCUUCUUUACCUUUGUAGUUAUAUUGUGGAUCAUAAUUACCUUCAAAAUACAACAGAAAAGAAACUAAUUCUAUUCUAAAUUGCUGUGGGAGGAUUUACUGAAGUGAGAUAGGCCCCGAUGGUUAAAUCUUUUUUUUAUCUUUAUUAAUUUGAGUAUUUCUUAUUUACAUCUCGAUUGUUAUUCCUCUUCCCGGUUUCCGGGCCAACAUCCCCCUAACCCCUCCCCUUCCCAUUCUGUAUGGGCUUCCCCUCCCCAUCCUCCCCCCAUUACCACCCUCACCUCAACAAUCACGUUCACUGGAGGUUCAGUCUCGGCAGGAACAAGGGCUUCCCCUUCCACUGGUGAUCUUACUAGGCUAUUCAUUGCUACCUAUGAGGUCAGAGUCCAGGGUCAGUCCAUGUAUAGUCUUUAGGUAGUGGCUUAGUCCCUGGAAGCUCUGGUUGCUUGGCAUUGUUGUUCAUAUGAGGUCUCGAGCCCCUUCAAGCUCUUCCAGUCCUUUCUCUGAUUCCUUCAACAGGGGUCCCGUUCUCAGUUCAGUGGUUUGCUGUUGGCAUUCGCCUAUGUAUUUGCCAUAUUCUGGCUGUGUCUCUCAGGAGAGAUCUACAUCCGGUUCCUGUUGGACUGCACUUCGUUGCUUCAUCCAUCUUGUCUAAUUGGGUGGCUGUAUAUGUAUGGGCCACAUGUGGGGCAGGCUCUGAAUGGGUUGUUCCUUCUGCCUCUGUUCUAAACUUUGCCUCCCUAUUCCCUGCCUAUCCCCUUUUGAAGAAGGAGUGAAGCAUUCACAUUUUGGUCAUCCUUCUUGAGUUUCAUGUGUUCUGUGCAUCUAGGGUAAUUCAAGCAUUUGGGCUAAUAGCCACUUAUCAAUGAGUGCAUACCAUGUGUGUUUUUCUGUGAUUGGGUUAGCUCACUCAGGAUGAUAUUUUCCAGUUCCAUCCAUUUGCCUAUGAAUUUCAUAAAGUUAUUGUUUUUGAUAGCUGAGUAAUACUCUAUUGUGUAGAUGUACCACAUUUUCUGUAUCCAUUCCUCUGUUGAAGGGCACCUGGGUUCUUUCCAGCUUCUGGCUAUUAUAAAUAAGGCUGCGAUGAACAUAGUGGAGCACGUGUCUUUGUUAUAUGUUGGGGCAUCUUUUGGGUAUAUGCCCAAGAGAGGUAUAGCUGGAUCCUCAGGUAGUUCGAUGUCCAAUUUUCUGAGGAACCUCCAGACUGAUUUCCAGAAUGGUUGUACCAGUCUGCAAUCCCACCAACAAUGGAGGAGUGUUCCUCUUUCUCCACAUCUGAUGGAUAAAUCUUUAUGUGCAGUUUUGACACAGAAUCCACGAAGGCUGUAAUCUACAAAGACCUGUGAACUGGGCAUGGAGUAGACACUAAAGAGCCUGUGUCAGCUUUGGAACAUCUCAUUUUCUGAUGCUAGAUAAAAGUAAUCCUGCGUGUAUAAAGGCUUGUAAGAAACAAACGGCAGAUCACCUCUGGAGGAAGGUGACAUCAUUUUACAACCCAAACAAGCCUACUUACACAAUUAACUUUACAAAUGUGAUAUAUGACACACAAUAACUAUAUCUUCCUCCAGGCACAUACGAAGUAAAUUCUAGCCUGUAAAAAUGCAGCAGAAAAAGAGAAAAGUUAGAGGUCUUGAGGCAGUCUGCCAACAAUAUCUGUUAAAGAGGACAAAACAGAGACUUGAAAAUCUGGCAGAAAACUGGAAUGCAUGAGCAAUUAAGACAUUAAGAUUCAAAUGUAAGUGUACAGAAAAUAAACAACAAAUAUUUAUCAGUAUAGCAGACACACCUAAUAACAUUGUUUAUGUACUAAUGUAGAAGCAAAAAAAAUCCAGAAGUAAAUACCUGGAAUCAGCAGAAGAGAGAAGGCUGAGAAUAGGGUAUAACUGAGGCCAUGCUAAUGAAGCUGGGUGAGGGGCUAGAGACUACUGCAUUAAGAAAAGAUAAGUAAAUGUUAAAAAAUCAACAUCUUGAAGCCUGCAAUACAGCAGGCCCAAUUUUUGCUGUGAAAAACACUUAAUGCUAAUUUAUCAAUUAAAUAAAAUUCCCAUUAAUAAUGUAAGUUAAGUAGUAAAUCUUCGGAUGAAAACCAACUCCGAAUGCAUAUGACCCCAACAGAAGUUCUACAUGAUUUUGCUUUAGUGAAAGUAAAAUCUUUUCCAGAUAAUAACUGAAAGGUGGGAGAGGAAAGAAAAAGCAAAAGUACAAAUUACGUGGGCCCAAACCACUUCAGUUUCCACUUUCAUUUAAUCUAACUUCUGCAGUGAUCUGACUUCAAGCUCACUGCUAUUUUAUUUUCAUAGUAGUUCCAGUAAUUAUGUAAAUAGAUACUCACAGAAGUUUAUUUUCAUAGUUUUCUUCCAGUCAUUAUGUAAUGCAUACACAUACACGUUUAUGCAGAAAGCAUUUCUAGAAUCACUGCAGGUUAGUCAGUGGGUAAACUCUAUGAAUAGUAAAGCCUUGGUUUAGACUUUCUCUUUUCAUUAUGUUUUAAACAUCAGUAUUAUUUGUUAAAAAUUUUGAAUUCCACUUUAUUCUAGAUUUGCUUCUUUUCUUAGAAACUUUUGCCUUGUUAAAAUGUGUGAACUUCCUCUUGCUUCGCAUCCUUGCCAACAUGUGCUGUCACCUGAGGUUUUCAUCGUAGCCAUUCUGAUUGGUGCAGGGUGAAGUCUUAGGGUUCUUUUGAUUUGCAUUUCCAUGAUCAGUAUGGACUUUGAACAUUUCUUUAAGUGCUUCUUAGCCAUUCAAAUUUCUCUGUUGUAAAUUCUCUGUUUAGCUCUAUACCUCAUUUUUUAUUGGGUUGCUUGGUUUUUUUGGAGGUUAGCUUAUUGAGUUCUUUUAUGUAUUUUGGAUAUUAGCCCUCUAUCAGAUGUGGGAUUAGUGAAGUUUUUUCCCAAUCUGUAGGUUACAUAUUUGUCCUAUUGACAGUGUCUUUUGCCUUAUAGAAGCUUUUCACUUUCAUGGGGUCCUGCUUAUCAAUUCUUGCUCUUAUAGCCUGAGCCAUUGGAUUUCUGUUUAGGAAAUCCCCCUUAUCCUGCCCCCUUUGUCAAAGCUGGUGUCAUAGCUCCUUUGUCAAAGCUCAAGUGUCCAUAAGAGUGUUGUUUGAUUUCUGUGUUUUCAAAUCUAUUCCAUUGAUCAACCUAUCUGUCAAUACUUGUUGAAUUGUAAAAUGGUACAACCACUCUGGAAAUCAAUCUGGACGUUCCUCAGCAAAUUGGAAAUAGGUCUACCUGAAGACUCAGCUAUACCACUCUUGUGCACAUACCCAAAAGAUGCCCUACUAUGCCACAUUGGCACAUACUGCACUAUAUUCUUAGUGGCCUUAUCUGUGAUAGUCAGAAGCUGGAAACAACCCAGAUAUCCCACAACAGAAGAAUGGAUACAGAAAAUGUGGUUCAUUUACACAAUGGAAUACUACACAGCAAUUAAGAAUGAGGACAUCAUGAAUUUUGCAGGCAAAUGGAUAGAACUAGAAAAUACCAUCCCAAGUGAGGUAACUCAGACUCAAAAGGACAUUCAUGGUAUGUACUCACUAAUAAAUGGAUAUUAGCCAAAAAAAAGUACAGAACAUCCAGGAUACAAUCCACAGAACUCAAGAAGCUUAACAAGCUGAAGGGCCCAAGUGAGGAUGCUUCAUUCCCACUGGGAGGGUCGGGAGAAGAAAGCAGUUAAGGGGGUAAGAGGGAGGCAGGGAUCUAGAGGUGAGGGCAAAACAGAAAAGCAGAGCAUAGUUAGGUAUAGAUGGGACAGGAAGGAAGCUCUGAGAGCCAACAGAAUGAAUAAAAAUAUACAACCUUGGGGGUGGAAGGUGGGGAAGUGUCUAGAAUUUACCAGAAACCUGGGUGGUGAGAAACUUUCAGGAAUUAAAGGGAAGGGACCUUAGAUAAAGUGCCCAAGAGUGGAAAGAUGGACUUGUAGAGUCCACCUCCAGUAGGAAGACAGGGAAUCAAGUGGAGGGAUGGGGCUGCCAUCCCACAGUCAAAUACUUCGACCCAUAAUUGUUCCUGUCUAAAAGAAAGAACUGCAGAAACAAAAAUGGAGAAGAGCCUGAGGAAAAAAGAGGUCCAGUGACAGGUCCAAGUUGGGAUCCAGCUCAGGGUAAGUCUCCAAGGCCUGAUACUAUUACUGAUGCUAUGGUGUACAGACAGGAGCCUAGGAUGGCUGUCCAUUGAGUGGCCCAACAAGCAACUGACUGAGAAAGACAGAUAUUUACACUUAACCUGUGCUUGAAUUAGGGGAAGGCUGGAAGAAGCUGAGGAGGAGGGCGACCCCACAGGAAGAAGUACAGUCUCAACUAACCUGGACCCCUGAGAUCUCUCAGACACUGAGUCACCAACCAUGCAACAUACACUAGCUGGUUCAAGGUCCCUGAAACAUAUUCAGCAGAGGACUGCAUGGUCUGUUCUCAGUGAGAGAAGAUGUGCCUUAGCCUGGAGAGGCCCCAGGGAGUUGGGGAGCCUCCUGGUGGUGUGGGGACAUCCUCCUGGAGACAGACAAGGUGUGGAGGGAGAAAGAAUGGGAUGAGGAACUGUGAGAGGGUGAACUAGGAGUGGGGCAACGACUGUACUGUAAAAAAAAAGAGAAAAGCAAUAAAUAAAUACAUUAAUUAAUUAAUAAGCGAACUUGCUGAGGAUACGGAUUAAUGUUGCCUAUUCUGGGUGACCUUUCUAAAUCUGUGGGGGUACUCUUCCAGUAGAUUGAUGCAGUGAAUAUUUUUAGGAUGAUAUAUUCAUAUUAAGUGAGUCCAUUUUUGUUUUUUGCUUUCCCUCAUUGGGAACUUUAGUGACAGGUGCAUCAACUUGCCUCACUUACACCCUGUGCUUUGUCCUGUCCCUAAAUCUUGAGGACUGUAGCUUUGACAUCACCUUUGCAUGCCAUUCCUCAGUUUUUAACUCUCUCUUAAUCUUAAUGAAUUUUCAACAGUUGUUUUUGUCCAAAUUUUAUUAUUUCUGCCUUUCAUUCUUUUCAUUCUAUUCACUAACUGCUCAGCUGUCUGCUCUGCCAUCUCCAUUUUUAUCCUUUGAUCUUGUGUUUCCAUUUUUAACAUCUUACCCACAAUAAAUAUUUCACUGAGUAACUUAAAAUAUCCAUAACAAAAUAACUCGUCAAAUUUUCAGCCUGCUUCUGGGUUUAUUUGUGCUUAAAGCACUUUGUUAAGUAGAGGGAUUUUUUUUUUUUACAUUUUAUUUUUUUUAUUAACUUGAGUAUUUCUUAUAUGGAUCGCCUAUGCUAUUUUAUCUUCUAGAUACUUGGUUUACACACAAUAUACCUUCCUGGUUUCAAGCCCUUUGAUAGACUUGUUUUUAAUCCUGUCAAUAUUCUAAUGCUUUCCUGAGUUAGAACAUGUGGUAUUUUGUAUAUGAUCUCCUUGAGUUUCUUAAUCUUUACUUUCUAUAUGCUUAUGUCCUCUUGAUUUUCAUCAAACCUUUCACUAAGCCCUGGGGGCGUCAUAAUGAACAUCAAAACCAGAUAUUCCAUUUCAUAGAGUUUAUAAGAUCUGAGAAUAGAAAGACAAAUGGAUUUAAUACAGUACCAGGGAGGAGAAGUGGAGGAAACUGGAGAGGCACAUAUUAAAAUCAUUAAGCAUUUAGAUCCCUAAUGAGCCUGCCCAACCCCUACAUUUUGGAAAGAAUUCCUUCCUGUAUUUCUAGUGUUUGAAAGAAUCAUAAAAAAUUCUAAGAGAAGAGAGUGUGUUCCCAGAUGAAGCGGCUGUAAUGUUGUAUGAACAUUCUGAGGGGUUUAUACUUCCUGAAGAAUCAAUUUCACUAUUCUGUUUUAUGAAUCCGUAUGAGGAGAGUAUCUGUAUGAAGAGAGAAUCUGCAAAGAUUCCCUUUUGCCUGGCAAUCCAAUCAAGAUUUAGCUUAAUUUUUGUUGGUCACUUGGUCUCUGCCCUUUUUGCUAUCACUUAAGCUUUUAUUAAAAAUAAUACCUGUACACAAUGUAUUCUGAUAAUUAUCUCUCACCACCAGGUUUCCUUAUAUCCAUCUCAUCUUUAUUAACACCCUACCCCAUCCCUUUUCUCAGAUCCAGGACUUAAAGUUCUAUUCUGUGACCCAUUUAGGUUGACCAUGCUAUCUGCAUGACUAUUGUAUCCCACUGUACAUCAUACCAUCGUAUAUCAUUUUCCAAAAGGACCCGUCAAGUCCCUGUUCAGGACCUGUGUUAGCUUGCUUCACAGUUUCAGUAUCUGAACACUAACAUGAGAGCAGGUGGUUAGAGGUACCAGCAGUAUGCAGUUUGAAGUGCAUUCAUAAAAUCUUACAGGGACCUACAUUUCAUUGCAUGAGCUACUUUCGUUCUGCUAUUCUUUAGCAAUCAGUCAAUUUUUGCAGUAUGACUCUGGGACACUUCAAUUUUCUAACAGCAGUGACAGCAUGUUAGCCUUAUGAAUCUAGGAGCUGUCAGCAAAGUGAGUAUUAUAGAAUCUGUAUGAGAAAGCUCAUCUUGUCACUGCUGGACAGGAUUCAUGCUGCCUUGCUAGAUCCUUUAGCUUCUUUCCAUGUUUAGAGAAGGUAGGCAGACAUGAACUAAUCUAUCCUAUUUACGGCACAAAUGUCAAAGUCUUAUUAUAAUUAAAUCCUUGGAGCAUCUCCUACGUAUAUAAAAGAAAAACACAUGUGGGAAAUUGUGAAUGCUUUUUUUUUUUUAUUUCCCUUUUAGCUUCAGAGUUGAAACUACAGCUUGUUUUCUUAAUUGGUUUGGCAAAAGAAAAAUUGUUAGAAGAAAACAGACAGCUAAUCCAUGGUCAGUUUUACAUUCCACCUUGUGUUCUCCAAAGUAAAAACACAUAGGAUGGCCCUUGAGUAUCUUCAUUCAAAGUGACAAGGGUCAGCAUUCUUAUAUGCCUAGAGAAGUUGUAUCAGUUCUAAUUAUGACAACUGGUUCAUUUCGGAAGUACUAGAGGGAAAAGCAUCCGUCACAGCAGGGAGGCAUGGUUGACAGUGGCAGGCCCUGAAGACAAGAGCUGAAAGUUAAGAGAUCCUAUCUCCAGCUGCAAGAAGGGAGCAAGAGAAGAAACUAGAAGUAGGCCAAGACUAUACACUUUCAAAGCCUGCCCCAAUGAUGCACUUCCUCCAGAAAGGCUGUUCCCGCCCCCAACCCCCAGUUUUUUCUGAUAGACCACCCAUUGAAAAACAAGAGUCCAAAUAUCUGAGCCUAUGAGGGGCGUUUCUUAUUUAAACCAGCACAUCUACACUUACUGUAGUUAGAAUGCGAAGACCCUUACAUGUCUUCCUUUCAAAGGGUCGAAAUGCUCUUGUUACUAAUGAGACUUACUAUUCUGAAGUUGUUUUUAUCAUGAUUGGAUGGCUAGAGGAAGUCUUUUAUCUUACAGAGGAUCAGGCGAACGUACCCGUACCUUUCUCAGCUCACUCAUUUUUAGGAGAUCGACCACUGUGGUUCUAUAUUGAAGCCACAUGGUGGUCUCACAGAGUAAGUCUGAGAAGCACUAGGCAGGCAGUUUUCAAACUGUACUCAAAAGAUCAGUGAACAGCUAGAGUUCGUCUUUGAAGAUAAUGGAAAAAGGGCACCCAGAGUAAGCUUAUGAUUUGGUGCUAUAUUUAUGCAACUGGUUUCUUCAUGUAUUUCCUGCCAUCUUCAAGUGGUUCACUUGGAUUUCUGUAUUGUUUUCACUUUGGAUCUCUAAAUACAGUUAUAUGGGCCCACCAACCAACUCAAUAGGUUGUGAUUGUAUUUAUGUAAUAAUAAUUAUAGAAAAGAAGGUCAUGAAUUAGAGAUAAAGUAUAAGGGAACGUGAAAGAAAUUGGACGGGGAUGGCUAAGGUAUGUGUGUUAUGCAUGCACAAUACUCAUGCAGGAAACUCUCAGAAAACAUAAAGAAAAAUGGUCAGUGUAUGUGUAAAACUGCUCUGUCUCACUAAUAAGGAACAAAAAUAAUAAAUUAGACAUAUUUUUUCACCCAGACAACUGAUAGUAUAUAAACAUUCUGAUAGGCCCUUCUGAGAGAAAAUUUACAUAGAUUUUGUAAUGUUCUAAAAGAAUGCCUAGCAAUCCAUUAAGUUUUUUUUUUGUAUUAGAACAUACACUGCUGGUAAUUUGAAUACAGAAUGUCAGAAUUUGUCUUGCUGAUAUUUAUUGAAAGCCUUAUCAUGACAUUCUUAUCCUUUGUCCUCUAAGUUCUACUUCUAAUAAUUACUCUGAUCAAAAUACUUAUAGGCUUCUUUACAAAUUAGGAAUUUAUUACACAUUUUGACUAAUAGCAAAGUUCUAUGAAAUAAUUUAAGUAUAAAACUGUAAGGAAUUGGUUAAAUACAUGCACAGACAAAAAUACAAUAUCAGGGGGACCUCCCCCUUCCCAGAGGAGAAAGGGAGGUGAUAUGGGGGAAGGAGUUAUGUAACUGGAGGGCCUGGAGGAGGAGACCUCAGUUCAGAUGUAGAGUGAAUAAAUAAAUUAAUUAAUGAAAAGUACAAUGCACAAUAAUUAUCUCUUACAAUAUUUAAAAUCAAUGCCAUAAAAUCCCACCAUGAUCUUCAUUAUAACAGAUUUAACUACUGUGUGUUUAUGAAAUGCAUAUAUAAUGCAAAGGCACAUGUGUUAAGUGUUUAUAUGUAUGGUGUGUGUAUGUGUGUGUGUGUGCUUAUGUGGUUGUCUGUUUCUCUCUCUUUCUUUGUGUGUGUGUGUGUGUGUGUGUGUGUGUGUGUGUGUGUUAUGUGUGUUCAUGAGGUAUCAUGGAAAGCUAAGUCAGAAGUCACAGAAAAU